CAAGGCUGCCGGGUGUGCAGAUGUGAGGAUUAUUUCAAUGGUGAAGAAGCAUCCUGAGAGGUUACGUAGUUCAACUAAUGUCACACCAAGAGCAGGAGAGCAUCUGGGCAUUUGGACAUGGAAGGUGUGGGGCACAAGCAUCUCAUGGCCAGGGAACGGGGGAGGAGCAUCUCAGAGCUGCAUCAGAGUUCAUGCUGGUCCUAGGACAAGAGUCAAGCACACCCUGCUUUCACCAGCUGCUGGUAGCUUUCACUCAGGAUCCCAAAUGCGAAAUAGGUCUUGAAAGGGAUAUCAGACACAUGUC
rnacentral:lncRNA from 1 species